rnacentral:rRNA from 1 species
GACGAACGCUGGCGGCGUGCUUAACACAUGCAAGUCGAACGGAAAGGCCCUGCUUUUGUGGGGUGCUCGAGUGGCGAACGGGUGAGUAACACGUGAGUAACCUGCCCUUGACUUUGGGAUAACUUCAGGAAACUGGGGCUCAUACCGGAUAGGAGCUCCUGCUGCAUGGUGGGGGUUGGAAAGUUUCGGCGGUUGGGGAUGGACUCGCGGCUUAUCAGCUUGUUGGUGGGGUAGUGGCUUACCAAGGCUUUGACGGGUAGCCGGCCUGAGAGGGUAACCGGCGACAUUGGGACUGAGAUACGGCCCAGACUCCAACGGGAGGCAGCAGUGGAGAAUAUUGCACAAUGGGCGGAAGCCUGAUGCGGCAACGCCGCGUGCGGGAUGACGGCCUUCGGGUUGUAAACCGCUUUCGCCUGUGACGAAGCGUGAGUGACGGUAAUGGGUAAAGAAGCACCGGCUAACUACGUG